rnacentral:tRNA from 1 species
GGGACUGUGACUGAGUGGUAGAGUGCUUGCUUAGCAUGCACAAAACCCUAGGUUCAAUUCCUCAGUACCA